AUUCCUACAGUUCAGGGUAGGUUAAAAGGAUAAAAAGAAUUUUGAGAUAAAAAAAAGAAGGAAAAGCGAGAUUCAUUUGUGUCGUUGUCGUCAUUCAUCUUCAAACCUCUCGUCUUCCAAACCAAGUUGUUUCAAUGUGACCUCUAGAUUGUUCAUGAGGUUCGAAGAGAGUACCAAACGCACCUGUUUCAAGCUGUCUAGUCCUCCAUGGUCAAGUAAUGGUGUUCAACAAGUUCGUACCAAAUAGCACCCGUAACCUGUUCUGAUUCAGAACGUAAAUCCAGCAGUUUAGCUCAUACUUCAAUAGAAAUUCUAUUCCAUCCUAUUGCAAGCAAAGGGAGAAGAAGGCAGAUUAAUGAACCAGAACCCAGGUUCAUGACUGACAAAGCGGAAGGCUUCACUAAAAGGUACAAGCUGAAAUGAAAUUUUAACCUCAACUUGAAGGCUAUAUCACUAGAUCACAACUACAGGUACAAGCUGAAGGCUAUGAGCUUCUACGUUUUUUAUUCAUACCACACUUUUCUGACAUUUGUCAAAUCUUGUUAUUCCAAAGGCAUAAAAGAAUAAGAGGCAAAAAGAGAAAGGAUCUAAACAUAAGAAAACAAAGAAGCAAAAAACUGUAAGGGGGCAAGUACCAGUCAACCGAUCUCUGAUGUGCUGCCAACACAAUAGUCUAAGACAAAUUAGUGUGCAAUUAGUGUUGGAUGCUUUUGUUCUGUAUAUGAAACUAUUAUACAAAUCCUUGGAUUUUUAAUGAUUUUUGAAUCAUACAUUAUUUUGGGUGAAUUGUUGCCAUAAUUUGAAUUGUUGCCGUAAUUGGCGCACUUAAGUUCCAUUUACAGUUAGAAACUUAACUUGCUUCUUUAAUUCAACAA